rnacentral:rRNA from 1 species
AGAGUUUGAUCCUGGCUCAGGAUGAACGCUGGCGGCGUGCCUAACACAUGCAAGUCGAGCGAAGCGCUUAAGUCUGAUUCUUCGGAUGAAGGCUUUUGUGACUGAGCGGCGGACGGGUGAGUAACGCGUGGGCAACCUGCCUUACACAGGGGGAUAACAGUUAGAAAUGACUGCUAAUACCGCAUAAGACCACAGAGCUGCAUGGCUAAGUGGUAAAAACUCCGGUGGUGUAAGAUGGGCCCGCGUCUGAUUAGGUAGUUGGUGAGGUAACGGCUCACCAAGCCGACGAUCAGUAGCCGACCUGAGAGGGUGACCGGCCACAUUGGGACUGAGACACGGCCCAGACUCCUACGGGAGGCAGCAGUGGGGAAUAUUGCACAAUGGGGGGAACCCUGAUGCAGCGACGCCGCGUGGGCGAGGAAGUAUUUCGGUAUGUAAAGCCCUAUCGGCAGGGAAGAAGAAAUGACGGUACCUGAAUAAGAAGCACCGGCUAAAUACGUGCCAGCAGCCGCGGUAAUACGUAUGGUGCAAGCGUUAUCCGGAUUUACUGGGCGUAAAGGGAGCGCAGGCGGCGCGCCAAGUCUGAUGUGAAACCCCGGGGCUCAACCCCGGGCAUGCAUUGGAAACUGGCGGGCUGGAGUGCCGGAGAGGUAAGCGGAAUUCCUAGUGUAGCGGUGAAAUGCGUAGAUAUCAGGAGGAACACCAGUGGCGAAGGCGGCUUGCUGGACGAUGACUGACGUUGAGGCUCGAAAGCGUGGGGAGCAAACAGGAUUAGAUACCCUGGUAGUCCACGCCGUAAACGAUGACUACUAGGUGUCGGGAGGCAAAGCCUUUCGGUGCCGCAGCCAACGCAAUAAGUAGUCCCCCCGGGGGGUACGUGCGCAGGAAGGAAAUCAAAAGGAAUGACGGGGGGCCCGCACAAGCGGAGGAACAUGGGGUUUAAUUAGAGGAUACGCGAGGAACCUUACCCGGGUUCAAACGACGCAGGGAGGUCCGUGAAAGCGGACAGUCCUUCGGGACCUGUGUGGAGGUGCUGCAUGGUUGUGUUCAGCUCGUGCCGGGAGGUGUCGGCUUAAGUGCCAUAACGAGCGCAACCCCCAUCUUCAGUUGCCAUCAGGUGAUGCUGGGCACUCUGGAGAGACUGCCGGCGCAAGCUGCGAGGAAGGCGGGGAUGACGUCAAAUCAGCACGGCCCUUACGUCCGGGGCGACACACGUGUUACAAUGGCAGGUACAGCGGGAAGCCAGGCGGCGACGCCGAGCGGAACCCGAAAACCUGUCUCAGUUCGGAUCGGAGUCUGCAACCCGACUCCGUGAAGCUGGAUUCGCUAGUAAUCGCGCAUCAGCCAUGGCGCGGUGAAUACGUUCCCGGGCCUUGUACACACCGCCCG